ensembl:lncRNA
GGUAAAUCUCAGUGCUGGUGGCAGCGCUACAGGUUCGGGAGUGUGUCAGUAAUAUUUGUUCUAUUUUCACAACCAGAGCUGGACAAAAAUAAUGUCCAGUAUAAAUAAAAAACUGUUGUCUGUUUUGCUGCUCAUUAUAUUUUAACAGAACAUUUGAGAUGAACAUUAGGCUACUGUGUACGGCCUCCGCUGGCAAAAUCAAUGCCAUAACCAAUUGUGUUACCGCUGAGACCAGCUUUUUGUGGGUCUUAAGUAUCCUGCUUGCGCUCACUGAAAUUGGGAUAUAAGGACACACCUAAAAUAUUUCCACCCUCCCAACUGCACAAGCCAACGUUAGACAGGUUAAAAUCUGAACCUGGCGUAAUGGCUGGAAAAUGCCAUUGAACUAGGGUUUGCGUGACAGAAUUACAAACUAAUGUGCGUUUGACACUUACCCCCAGUCUAAAAUAAAACCAUAUAAGUGACAUGAUUUGGUUUUAGUGCUGUUUGUUGCUUUGUGGUCUUGCUGUUGAGUUGUACUUUAAGAACUGCACACUCAUGUUUUAAAGUGAUGAGCUGUCUUCCCACAGGCCAUCUAUCUUGUUUCCCUCCUGGAAGGUUCUUCCUGUGCACAGACUGAUUUAACACCAGCUGGGUCAAAACUCACUGUUUCCUGUGAGAGGUGGAAGUGGAAAGGGCACACAGGAACAGAGUUCUGUCCAUAGAGAUGGUCACCUGAGGACCAAGACGGCUGGGUCUAGUCACAGCUGACCACAUACAGUCCAUAUCAUAAGUAUUCACUCUCUUUGGAUUUCUUCACAUUUUAUUGUGUUACAAUGUGGUAUGAAAAUGGAUUUAAUUGUCUAUUAUUUUUGUAUCUACACAAAAACACUCUCUAAUGUAAAAGUAAAUGAAUUCAAUGAAUGAAAAAUAAAAAGCUAAUAUGAUUAGAUAAGUAUGUCGAUACAUGUUAUAAACAUAUUUGGCAGCGAUUUUAGCUGUGAGUCUUUUGGGGUAAGUCUCUUAACGUUUUGCACACCUGUGCCAUAUUUGCCCAUAAUUUUUUUUUUAAAUGAUUCAAGCUCUGUCAAGUUGGUUGUUGUUAGACAGACAUUUUCAAGUGUUGCCAUAGUUUUUCAAGCAGAUUUAAGUCAAAACUGUAACUAGGCCACUCAGGUACUCAGGCACUGACUUAUUGGUAAGCAACUGAAAUGCAGAGUUGGCCUUUUGUUUUAGACUAUUGUCCUACUAACAGGUUAAUUUGUCUCCCAGUGUCUGGUGGAAAGCAGACUGAACCAGGUUUUCCUAUAGGAUUUUGCCUGUGGUACAGUCCAUUCUGUUUAUUUUUAUCCUGACAAACUCCCUAGUCCUUGAAGAUGAGAAGUCUACCCAUAACAUGAUGCAGCCACCAUCAUGCUUGAAAAUAUGGAGAGUAAUAUUCAGUAUCACCUGUUUAGUCCCUUGUUGCAAACAUGAUGCAUGUUUUUCUAUUUUUGUCCUAUACAAGCUUCCUUCUUUUCGCUCUGUCAUGUGGGUUAGUAUUGUAACUACAAUGUUGUUGAUCCAUCCUCACUUUUUUUUCUAAAAUCACAGCCAUUAACUACCAUGUUGUUGUGUUACUACCAUGUUGUGUGUCGCUACCAUGUUGUUUUCAUGUUGCGUUGCUACCAUGCUGUGCUGUCGUGUGUUGCUGCCUUGCUUUGUUGUUUUCUUAGGUCUUUCUUCAUGUAGUGUUGUGUUGUCUCUCUUGUCGUGAUGUGUGUAUUGUACUAUAUUUUUAUUACAUUUUUAAUCCCAGCCCCUGUCCCCGCAGGAGGCCUUUUGCCUUUUGGUAGGCCGUCCUUGUAAAUAAGAAUUUGUUCUUAAGUGACUUGCCUAGUUAAAUAAAGGUGAAAUACAAAUAAAAACUGUG